rnacentral:rRNA from 1 species
GCUUGACUGUAGCUUGUAAUUGGGUUCGGGCUUUUUUUGCGCAGCCUAGGUGGGAGGCAACGAUGAUUUUUUCCGGAAAAAUUUGAGCCGUUACGUGAGAGACCACUCUGAAAAGGCUAGAAUCCUAAUAAUGAUCCUUGAAUCAGGACAUUUGACAGUUGCAGGUGGGCAGUUUUACUGGGGCGGUAUUCUCCUAAAAAGUAACGGAGGGGUGCAAAGGUUCCCUCAAGCUGGACGGAAAUCAGCUUAAGAGUGUAAAGGCAAAAGGGAGCUUGACUGCAAGACCUACAAGUCGAGCAGGGCGAAAGCCGGCCUUAGUGAUCCGACGGUACCACGUGGAAGGGCCGUCGCUCAACGGAUAAAAGUUA